rnacentral:snRNA from 1 species
GGAUGUGAGGGUGAUCUGGCUACGACGUCUGUCACCCCAUUAAUCGCUAGAGUUGAUUUGGCUGAUCUGGCUGGCUGGGCGGGUGUCCCCUUCCUCCCUCAACGCUCCAUGUGCAUCCCUCCCAAAGCUGCAUGCUCAGUGGAAGAGGACGACCACCCAGAUAGAGGAGGACCAUUCCUUGGUCAAGGGUAUACGAGUAGCUCCACUCCCCUGCUAGAACUUCCAAACAAGCUCUUGAUACGAGGUCUUGUUGAGUUGUCCUCGAACUUCUGAUCUUCCUGUCUCAGCCUCCCAAGUAUUUGGAGUUAUAGGCUUGUAACA